rnacentral:tRNA from 1 species
GAUGAAGUGGCUGAAAUAAUAGGCGAUAAAUUGUAAAUUUAUUUAUGGUAAUCUACCCUUCAUCA